GAAAGAUGAUCCUAAAAUUUCUAUCAUUCCAGUUUCCUUUAAAGCACUGCUCGGUCCUACCCUUUUCCCCUUGUCCUGUAUACAAAUCUAUAAUGGCAACUCCUCCUCCUGUCCCAUUGCCGGCACAUGAAGAGCAUAUUUUCCGAAGCCGAUAUCCCGCGGUUCUGGUGCCAGAAAAUGUGACAUUGCCAGAUUUUGUAUUCCAGGAUUCUGAAUUAUAUGCAGACAAGGUAGCAUUUGUGGAAGCUGUGACUGGAAAGGCAUAUACUUAUGGCGAAUUGGUUCGAGAAACCAGGAGGUUUGCUAAGGCCUUGAGGUCUAUUGGCCUUAGAAAGGGACAUGUAGUGAUUGUUGUGCUCCCAAAUGUUCCUGAAUAUGGAAUUGUAGCACUGGGAAUUAUGGCUGCUGGUGGAGUUUAUUCUGGUGUCAAUCCUGCUGCUCAUGAAUCUGAGAUUAAGAAGCAGGUUCAGGCUGCAAAUGCCAAGAUAAUUGUCACCAAUGAUCUUAGCUAUGGAAAGGUGGCGGGUCUAGAGCUUCCAGUGAUUCUGCUAGGUGAAGCUCGCAUUGGAAGUGCCAUGAAUUGGUAUGAACUGCUUGAUGCAGCUGACCGAGCAACCGAUAAAUAUGCCUAUGAAGACGUCCACCAGAAUGAUCUAUGUGCACUUCCAUUCUCAUCAGGCACCACAGGGAUGUCGAAAGGUGUAAUGUUAACUCAUAGAAAUCUGGUAGCUAAUCUAUGCUCAAGUCUCUUCAGUGUUGGACCUGAAAUGGUUGGUCAGGUUACUACACUUGGGCUAAUUCCAUUCUUUCAUAUAUAUGGGAUCACUGGAAUAUGUUUUGCCACUCUUAGGAACAAGGGGAAAGUGGUGGUGAUGAGUAGAUUUGAGCUCAGGACAUUCCUGAAUGCCCUCAUCACACAAGAGGUCACAUUUGCACCAAUUGUGCCGCCAAUUAUUUUGGCCUUAGUUAAGAACCCUAUAGUAGAAGAAUUUGAUCUCAGCAAGCUCAAACUCAGGGCAAUUAUGACUGCAGCAGCUCCACUUGCUCCUGAGCUACUCACAGCGUUCGAAAACAAGUUCCCUGGAGUCCAAGUCCAGGAGGCAUAUGGACUCACUGAGCACAGCUGCAUCACACUCACUCAUGGGGAUCCUAAUUUAGAACAUGGAAUUGCAAAGAAGAACUCAGUAGGGUUUAUCCUUCCAAAUUUGGAAGUCAAGUUCAUAGACCCUGACACUGGUAGGUCUCUCCCCAAGAACACCCCUGGUGAAAUUUGUGUAAGAAGCCAAUGUGUAAUGCAAGGUUACUAUAACAAUAAGGAGGAGACAGACAGGGCUAUUGACAAAGAUGGAUGGCUACACACUGGUGACAUUGGGUACAUUGAUGACGAUGGGGAUAUUUUCAUUGUGGAUCGUAUCAAAGAACUCAUCAAAUAUAAAGGUUUCCAAGUAGCUCCAGCUGAGAUUGAGGCUAUCCUCCUCACUCAUCCCUCUGUUGAAGAUGUAGCUGUCGUACCGCUGCCAGAUGAAGAGGCAGGGGAGAUCCCAGCUGCAUGUGUGGUGAUGAAGAAAGAAGCCAGAGAAAGUGAAGAAGAUAUAAUUAACUAUGUGGAAUCUAAUGUUGCCCAUUACAAGAAGGUAAGAGUAGUUCACUUUGUAGACGGUAUCCCAAAAUCACCUUCUGGAAAAAUAAUGAGAAGGCUUCUUAAAGAAAAGAUGAUUGAGAAGAUUAAAGUCAAUGAUCCAAAGCCAAUGACCAAGGCAGCAGCAGCAGCAGCUCCAGCUCUCAUAUGAUGACCCACACCAACUUUGAUUAAUUACUUUUUGGGGUUAAUGUUUAAUAAUUAUGUUUAAUGACUUUUGUUUCAGUUAAUUAUAAUCAUCAUCCCUUUUUCUCUUUAUUUUUUUUCCCCACUUUUCCUGGUCAACACAAUCAUGUCCUUUGAACUAGACCCCACCAUGAAAUGGUUCACAAUCAGAAUCGGAUUAGUUUAAAAAAGAUUGAAAUCCAUUAAACUUGUUUUUUUAUUCAAAUUGUGAAUAAAUUAUAUUGAAAUUGAAUCAGAACCGUUUGAUUUAGUUUUAAAUCAAAUCAAAAUUUUUUGUUUAAAAAUUAAAAAAAGAAAAAGAAAAAAUUGAGACAGUUAAAUUUGAACAUGAACUUUCAUCUUUUAUUUUGAAUUAAAAAAUUCAAAAUGAAUCAAAUCUUCUCAAGAUUGAUUCGAACUUAAAAUCAGUCAGCUAAUAACUGACCACUCCUUAAUCUAAACCUGAACCAAAACUUCGAGAAAUUCGAACCGGUUCAAGUUCACCCUUUUAGUAAAGCAUCUGCUAUCUACUUUGGACUUUGGUUGACAGUAGAUAAAGUUUGGACUUCAUCAAUUGAGAGUACCGUUGAAUAAGUUAACGCGUGAGUGUCAAUUUUGGAUUCAUGGGAAACGGGAGAGGGACGAAAAGGCUGUCAGGAAGGGCGGGAGAUGCGAAGAAAUUAUUUGAGACACUUAGGGUAUGUUUGGUAAGGGAGGAAAGUGAGAGAGGAAAGAAAAUUUAUUUUUUAUUUUUUUAUUUGAAUUGGGUAAAAAAUAGAGAAAGAGAAAAAAUAUUAGAGAAAAAGUAAAAAUAUUUUAUCCUUUU
rnacentral:misc_RNA from 1 species